rnacentral:rRNA from 1 species
UACGAAGGGGGCUAGCGUUGCUCGGAAUUACUGGGCGUAAAGGGCGCGUAGGCGGACAGUUAAGUCAGAGGUGAAAGCCCAGGGCUCAACCCUGGAAUUGCCUUUGAUACUGGCUGUCUUGAGUGCGGGAGAGGUGUGUGGAACUCCGAGUGUAGAGGUGAAAUUCGUAGAUAUUCGCAAGAACACCAGUGGCGAAGGCGGCUCACUGGCCCGAUACUGACGCUGAGGCACGAAAGCGUGGGGAGCAAACAGGG